rnacentral:rRNA from 1 species
GUGCCAGCCGCCGCGGUAACACGUAGGGGGCAAGCGUUGUCCGGAAUCACUGGGCGUAAAGGGUACGCAGGCGGUCCAGCAAGUCAGAGGUGAAAGCCAUCGACUUAACCGAUGAAGUGCCUUUGAAACUGUUGGACUUGAGGACAGGAGAGGAAAGCGGAAUUCCCGGUGUAGUGGUGAAAUACGUAGAGAUCGGGAAGAAUACCAAUGGCGAAGGCAGCUUUCUGGCCUGUUCCUGACGCUGAGGUACGAAAGCCAGGUUAGCAAACGGGAUUAGAAACCCCAGUAGUCC